AGCUUUGAGAGUUUGCUCCUUCAACGUGUUUUGAUAUGUCUUGUAAAGAACAUUCUAUAUUUUCUUCCAUUAUUCAGGGCUGUAGGUUCAGGAUUUGUCUGCGUGUGAAUGUUGUGGAUCUGCUUGUGAGUAAUUCCUUCACACGGUUGUUAGUUUGUAUAUAAUGUUCAUUUUUCUGCAGUUUCAUACAGUUAGUUUUUCUAUUACACUGAAUACCUGCUUUCAGACUUGUUGAAUGGUGAUCUGUUUGUUGUUCUUUGCUGUUGUUUGAAAUACAAUUUUGCAGAUUUAGAGACUGUCGCGGUUGCCGGCCCGCCGCAUGGCACGGCUGGGCCCGACCAGCACAGCCUCGCCGACAGCACAAGCUUACCUGCUCAUCGGCGAGCCGACAGCUGCUUCCCCGCAACCUCCGGCCGUCGCGCCCGGAUCCAAAAUGGCGCUGACCGCGUGGUCGCAACUAAACAUAGCUCCGCCCCCGAAGUUUAUACUGACGUUUGGGGUCAGAGGUCACCCUCUGACCAAUCAGACCUUAGAGAGGGAAAUUUAAAUCCCUAGCUCACCCCAGUAUCUUGCCCUGUCGUGGUUUCCUGUUCCUGGUUUCCUGAGAGUGCUUUAUCUUUGUGAAUCUGAUUUCCUGGUAUCCUGAUCUUGGCUUUUCCCUGGUUAUUCUGAAUUCUGGUUUCCCUGACUAGGCUUGUGUAAACGGUAUUGUGUAUUUUCUGGCUUCCUUGACCUCGGCUUUCCCUUUGACCAUUCUCUGUCUCUAGCGUAUUAGUCCGGCCAUUCUAAGGUCCGGUUUACGCUCUGUCCUUUUAUUUUUCUUUUCUUGCCUAUGUAUAUUUUUACAUAGUUUCUGCGUGCUGGACCACACUAGUAGUCGUGACAUUACGACAGGGCCAUGGAUCCUGCGGAACUAUGCGAACAUAUGAUUGCCUGUGAGAAUAGGGUGGAGGAUAUGGACCACAGGUUAGAUCAAUUUGCCCAGGCAUUUCAGACCUUGGUCCAGAGAACUGCCUAUUUAGAGCCAACUCCUGUACCAUCUGUGGUUCCGCCACCUGUAGUGGCUCCCGUGCCACAUAAACCACCGUCCAUAACCCUUUCACCUCCCCCUCGUUAUAGAGGUGAUUCGAAAGAAUUUAGAGGUUUUUUAAACCAAAUUGAGUACCACUUCGAAGCUUCCCCCGGUUCAUUCCCUACAGAUAGAUCGAAAAUUGGCUAUCUGAACCAAUUAACAGGAAAGGCUUUAAACUGGGCUUACCCCUUAUGGGAGAGUGGAAACGCCGUAGCCCGUGAUUACAGUGUCUUCCUAACAGCAUUUAAGGCUACUUUUGAACCUAAAGGCAGAGAAAAGAAGGCUGCCAAAGCUCUAAUGAGAAUAAAACAAGGCAGUUGCUCUGUAGAUGAUUAGUUUAGAACAUUGGCCUCCGAGGUUGACUGGACCAAUAGUGGUUUGGUGGCUGCUUUCUCAGAAGGUUUAGCUGAUAGUAUACAGGAUGAGACCGCAGCUAGAGACCUUCCGGUUAACCUCAGUGACUUUAUUGCUUAUAUGAUAGAUAUCGAUAACAGGCUCAGAGAAAGAGAGAAAAACAAACAACGUAAUAGAUGUCCUAACUUGUCUAUAGCCCCUCGUUUCUCUACCCAGUGGUGGUUAGCCAAGCUCCACCUCCAGAACCUGAACCCAUGCAAUUGGGUAUUGCUAAACUCACUGAGGCAGAGAAACAACACAGACGUAAUGAAGGGUUGUGUAUGUAUUGCGGCAAGAAGGGACAUCAAAGACUUUCAUGUCCAGUUCGGCCGGAAAACUUGCGCACCUAAGGCACGUACGGGGACGUGUGAUGUACAUGUCCCCUAAAUUGACUAAGAACCAUUUCCUUAUCAGAGUUACCUUAUCCUUUAAGAAGACCGCUGUACAGUGUGAGGCUAUGAUUGACUCUGGGGCAGCAGAGAAUUUCCUAGACAAAGAAUUCUCUGCAAAGUUUCUCCUGCCCUUAAGACAGAAAGAGAGACCCAUAGCAGUAGAGGCUAUUGAUGGAAGGCCUCUUACCCAGCCUCUCAUCACACACGAAACUCUGCCCAUCACUGUCUCAGUGGGUAUUCUUCAUUCUGAAGAGAUGGUUUUUCAAAUCAUAUCUUCACCUACAUGUCCGAUAAUACUCGGUUUCCCUUGGCUCCAGAAACACAAUCCACGUUUAGACUGGGUUGAAGGAGAGAUUGUGAGUUGGGGUGAGAGAUGCAGAGGUGUUUGCUUAAAGCAGAUGCCACAACCAAUUGGUACCAUCAAUGUUCCCAUUGCACCUCCCCUGACCACACAAAUACCAUCGUAGUAUUUGGACUUAAAGGAGGUGUUCAACAAGGCCCAGUCGGAGGGGUUACCACCACAUAGACCCUAUGACUGUGCCAUAAAUUUAUUACCAGGUACUAUGCCUCCAAAGGGAGGAGUGUAUGCUCUAUCCCCCCAAGAAAACCUUUGUUUAGAGGAGUAUAUAAAGGAUGCUCUCAGAAAGGGCCAUAUCCGUAGGUCCUCCUCACCCACCGGGGCUGGGUUCUUCUUCGUCUCUAAAAAAGAAGGAGACCUACGCCCCUGUAUAGACUAUAGGGGGUUGAAUAGGAUUACGAUAAAAAACGCCUAUCUGACUGGUAUGAGCUCUUACCCAUGGCUGAGUUCGACAGGAACAACGCGACUCAUGAAUCUUCUUAUCACCCCACAGCUUUCCCUUCUGACUUCUCAGACACCGACAUUCCUGCUUUAAACACCCGUUUAGAAUCUAUUCAUGAUACUUGGGAUUCCGUUCAUUCAGCUUUGCAAAAGGCUUCAAUACGUGCGAAAGUCCAAGCUGACAAGAAACGGGGUGCCAAUUCUGACUAUCAUCCAGGUGACAAGGUGUGGUUAUUCACACGCCAUAUCAAACUUAAGGUUCCUUCCAUGAAAUUUGCCCCUCGGUACAUAGGUCCUUUUCGAGUCAUUCGACAUAUCAAUCCAGUGACCUAUUUCUUGGCACUUCCUGCCCAUAUGAGGAUUGCCAAUUCGUUUCAUGUAUCUUUACUCAAGCCUCUUACUUGCAAUCGAUACACUAGAGUGUCCACUCUUCCUCCGCCCUUGGUAGUGGGUGACCAGCAGGAGUACGAAGUUCGUUCUAUAAUGGACUCCAAAAUGUCAAGAGGUAUCUUGUCCUAUGUUGUUGACUGGAAGGGGUAUGGUCCUGAGGAACGUUGAUGGGUUCCUGCUGACCGGGUUCAUGUGCCCCGUCUUGUCCAGUCGUUUCACAACCGCUUUCCCCUCAAGCCGGGUUCUUCCCGCCCGGUAGGCGGUCUUCGAGUGGGGGGAACUGUCGCGGUUGCCGGCCCGCCGCGUGGCAUGGCUGUGCCCGACCGGCACAGCCUCGCCGACAGCACAAUCUUACCUGCUCGUCGGCGAGAUGACAGCCGCUUCCCUGCAUCCUCCGGCCGUCGCGCCCGGAUCCAAAAUGGCGUUGACCAAGUGGUCAUGCCUAAACAUAGCUCCGCCCCCAAAGUUUAUACUGACGUGCGCGUGACAUCACGACGUCAAUGCGCACGCACGUUUUGGGGUCAGAGGUCGCCCUCUGACUAAUCAGACAUAGAGAGGGAUAUUUACAUCCCUAGCUCACCCCAAUACCUUGCCCUGUUGUGGUUUCCUGUUCCUGGUUUCCUGAGAGUGCUUUAUCUUUGUGAAUCUGAUUUCCUGGUAUCCUGAUCUUGGCUUUUCCCUGGUUAUUCUGAAUUCUGGUUUCCCUGACUUGGCUUGUGUAAACGGUAUUGUGUAUUUUCUGGCUUCCUUGACCUUGGCUUUCCCUUUGAUCAUUCUCUGUCUCUAGCGUAUUAGUCCGGCCAUUCUAAGGUCCGGUUUACGUUCUGUCCUUUUACUUUCCUUUUCUUGGCUAUGUAUAUGUUUACAUAGUUUCUGCGUGCUGGACCACACUAGUAGUCGUGACAGAGACUGAAAGAAAGGCAGGUUCAAUCUGAUACACAGAAAUUGUAGUAUGAAACUUGAAGGAAAGCAUUACCCCAAUUUUAGCAUCAACAAGUUCUGCUUUGGUUGACUACACAUGAGUUACAUGCGUAAGUCAAUCACCCCGACAAUUUAAUAAUAUUUAAUUCUAAUAUAUAGGAUUCAGGAGGGUAAUGCUCUGUUUUAUAAAUAAAUGUUUUUUUAUCAAUGCACUCUGAGUAAAAAUAAAUUUCGGUUGUCCCUACAAUUGUUUUUUAAACAGUAGACGUAAGCUGUCAAAGAUUUUUUUGUGAUUUAAAUCUUUAAUCAACGGCUCAAUAAAGGAAGUAGCAUAAACAUCUAUUCAGUUUACCACCAAAGUUUUAUGACUGCUCUCAGUUUGAAAGAAAGGAGUUUAAAACAGGAAGGUCAUAAUUCGAGUAAUCCAUCUGCCACUUCCCCUUGGUUCACACUCAUAGAAAAUGCACAAUACUUUCUGGAGUAAUUUCAGCUUUUAUCAAAUCCAUGAAUUCUCUUUUUUUUUAUAUAUAUAGAAACCUGGGGUUUAAGGAAUUAUUCACAAGACUGCUAAAUAAGGCCUGCCUACUCAUUGUUCUGUAGCUUUGUUUUACAAUAUUUUUUGCUAAAAUUACACUGUUCUGUGAGUUCUCCAGUUGGAACUAUCAAGUAAAAACUCACUAGAAACAUAUUGUCUGGUAUUGGAUCUCUGUGUAUUUGCAUAAUGAAUCAUUAGACCAUUUGGAUUUUUGCUGGUGAAAACUUUUGCACAAGGGUACUUAACUCGUCACAUGAUUGGAAUUUCUACUCCUCCGGUUAUUAUUUGGAGCUGACAUUUACCACAUAAGUUGGAAUUUAUCCAUAUUUCACUGAAUUGAGAAUACCGUAGAUGUGUUACCAUUCAAUUCCUCCUUCUCUCUGAAAUGAAGCAUUUCUGAAAAUAAAAGAUUACAUGUAAUAUGUCCUUGUUGUGUAUUCAUUUGUAAUAAAUAUAUAUUGUAACGGUAACAGGGUAGACUGGUCCACAGCUUGGGUUCAAGACCAGUUCAGCUACGUCCUCUGUACCUUCUCCUCUGGCACUCGACACUACCAUGAUUCUUCACCUACUAGACAGGCAGAUGUUGCUACCUCUACCCAACCCUUUUUUCCAGACUGGAAUCGAUUCCUCUGCCUGCUCCCAACACCAUCUUUACAACAACUUUGGUUAAGUUCACAGUACACAGGUCUGCACGCUUUGUCACCUUGGAGUGUGGAUGCAAUGUGUCUUCUGUGUUUGUGCGAACAGUUAAACAAAAUAAAAUGUGUCAGUAAUAAGAAGAGAAAGGAAUAACCUAUAAUCUCAUCAAAAUAUUCAACACCCUGUGACUACCUCAGUGCACCAUAAAGAGUGGGUGCACCUACAUACCAUUUGGGGGAACAGCAAAUCACCAUUAGACAGAAUUGAGAGCCUAAAACCUACAUAGAGCAUGACAUACACUGUAUAGAAUAAUAAUUUUGAAGUAUAACGUAUUUAACCAGGAAAGGUACACCAACUAUCUCCUGUGGAUGUUAUUUUUGCCCAGCAUCCAGGGUAUGUUACUAUUACCCAAUUAAAUGGUACUCAUUUUGUGACGGUAGUCCCCAUCACUGGGGGCUGAAGACGGACACUUUACGGAAUUCCCCAGAUUACUCCUAUGUUUUAGUCACACUGUGCCCAAUAUUUGUUUAUUAGUUAAUCUCUCACCCCCCNNNNNNNNNNNNNNNNNNNNNNNNNNNNNNNNNNNNNNNNNNNNNNNNNNNNNNNNNNNNNNNNNNNNNNNNNNNNNNNNNNNNNNNNNNNNNNNNNNNNAUGUUAUGAAUAAUAUGGUGAUAAAGAUAUAUUCCAAAGGGGCACUCACGUUUUCCAGAGCUUUAAAAGCUCUAUUUUAGGAGCCUGGAUGGAACAAUCCCCGUCUAAGGAUUUCUUUUUGCUGGUAUCAGAUUCCCAAGGUAGUGCGGUUCAUCAUAUGAAAAAAAUAAGGAUGUAUACCAAUGGAACAGUACGUAUGUAAAAGUAGGAAAAGUAAAUAAUAUUUGACCUACUUACAUUUGCUAGUGUAUGGAGCUUUAGGUGGAACAAUCCCCACCUAGGGAUAUAUGUAGAUCCGGAACAGCAGAGUGAUGGUGAGAGUAUAAGGAGCUCAAGAGUGACUGGGUGUUAAAACGGAAUCUUUAUUAAUAAACAGAAUGAAUAAAACUAUUUAAAAGUGAACUAUAUAGUAAAAAGAACUAUAAAUAAAACCAGUCCUUGUAGGCAGUCCUUAAUCUCCACUUGACAUGUUUCGCUUACAGCUUUCUCAAAAGUGAAUGUGUGCAGGGAGCCUGCAGGGGCAUGAUCUAAACACAGAAACUGCUUCAUUACGCUAAAGUUGUUUUGGUGACUAUAGUGUCCUUGCGUGGGAAGCAAAUGUCCAGUGAUUUAUUUGUAUUUUAUGUCAAUAUGUCUUUACUUAUGUUACCAAGUCUCAAUAGAAAAAAAUAAAAUAAAAAACAAAACAAAACAAAAGUAACUAAUGGCAAAUCUCGUCCUUUUUGCAUGCCUCCCUAAACAAAAGCAAUGCACUAACCAGUCGUGAGUCACAAAUAUCCUAAAAUGUACCUGCUUGUGAAAUAAAAUGGUAGUGAUCAUUCCAUCUUACUUUUUUUAUUUACUCUUUUACUGGCUAAAAGCAAUAUAGUGAAUAUCCUUGCACUACCAUGAUAGAUAGUUAAAAAAAAUGCAUGGCAAAUAUCACUUGUCAGAUUUAUAUAUAUAUAUGUAGUAAACCCCUGCACUCCAACCAAAAAUAAUUAGUACCCGGUGGUGUCCUGAUGAAAGCUCCUUAGGGGAGCUGAAACGUUGAUGUACCAUUCAGAAUAAAGAAGAAUUUGAAUUGGAAAACCCUGUAGUGCUGGUAUUUUUUCAGUUUAUAUAUAUAUAUAUAUAUAUAUAUAAAAUAGAAAAAAUCUUGCACUCCACCUUUCUCAAUUGUUCAAUGCCCGGUGCUUGUCAGCCAAAACACAAAGAAAUUCCAAAGAUAGCACUCCAGGGACUUAUAAAAAUUAACUUUUUAAAAGUUAAUUUUUAUAAGUCCCUGGAGUGCUAUCUUUGGAAUUUCUUUAUAUAUAUAUAUAUAUAUAUAUAUAUAUAUAUAUAUAUAUAUAGGAAGAAAGAUCCAGGAUGCACUCUCAGGUCUUUUGCCAAAGUAUAAUGUGAUUUAUUUAAAUGACGUGCAUACAGCAAACAAAAACAGACAUUUCGACUCCUGCGGGUCUUUUUCAAGAUCUUUUUUUUACAAAUUCCAAGGAACAGAAUGCCCAUUGUGUGAGAAAAAUUAUUGGUCUUAUUAGUUACUAAAGCGACAGUUGUCUGAAAUACAUAGUGGAUUCCAAGUGAAUUUUAAACUUAAGGAAAAAAUAAUCAGAACUGUAAACAUUCUGACUUCAGAAUUCAAUUUGAAUUCUCAACAAUUCUCACUUUGAUAAAUAACCCUAAGCUACAUAGUUAACUUUUUUUUCUAAGAACCGAAUUAAAGUGAUUUAAAAAUCAAAUUGUAAAAUUCACUCAAAAAAUAGCCAAAACAACAACAGUUUAAUUAAAGGAAAAUUAUAGCAUUAGGAACACAAACAAGUAUUCCUACUGUUUUGGUGUUCUGCUACCUUUAAGUUUUGCUUAGCGUGUAGACCUCGGUAUGUGCUGCGUUUCCCGCCUCCAGACUCCACAUCGUACUCAAAGCACAAUGACCACAUCAAAUCACUGAAGUGAUUUUGGUGCUUGGAGUGACCCUGUAAUUGAAUUGAUUAAAAUCACAUUAUAUUAUAUAAAAGGAGGAGUCUUGCAAUUUGGACCUUAUUCAGACCAAUUCAAAGGUGGCACAUACAUGCACACUCAUAAUGAACACGGCAGGCUCCCAUAAGGCAUCAGAAUAUGAAUCUCUAUAUACUUUUUAAAAUGGAAUUUGUCAAAAUGUGCCUAAACACAAAGUACGGUAAAUGUUGACGUCUAACAGAGAUGCUGAAACCUUGUUAGUGGUAUUCAUUAAUUAAUGUGUCGGCUCUGCAGUUUCAUGAUUCAGCUAAAUAACUGUGCCAAGAAGAGAUGGUUGUAUAAAUUUAUUUUAUUUUUGGUAGUUUUCAUAUGCAAAUAAAAACUACAAAUAUUUUGUUUUCUAAGCGCUGGGACAAAAUUCAAAAGAAUAAGGUCAUCCAUCAUGUUUAAUAUUCUUGUGUGAUAGCUGACAUUUCAUCACAUCCUUAAUAAUAAUAAUGGUAUACGAGUUCAAUUGUUGAGAAUUUCAAGAGGGACCAAAGGCAUAACUCUGUGCAGGAGAUUUUUUUUGUCAUGGAACAAUGUUAUGGACAUGCUGCAUUUAUUAAAUCCUCCAUUCCAUCGUUACCAAAGUAGGGUUAGUGACCUGUGGGUUUUUAACACUGCAUCUUGCUCUAUCAGUUAUGGUGCCAGGAGUGCCCUGUCAACCCCCCAUUGUAAAGAGUCAAAUUAUUUUAGAAUGGCUUUACUUCGUUCCUGGAGUCUGCAUGCUGUAGUGAUAAUGGUGCGUGGAGUGUUUCUUUGCAUAUGAAUUGUCGGGUAUUCAACACGAACUUAAAUUGAAUAUCAACAUUUAGACUAGAUAGAUACAUUUAAAAAACCUCUCCAAAACAGCUAUUUUCAGGUCAAAAAGCUACAAAUAGCAAGUGCUUUGGCCUAAAAUUUGAAAUCCACUUUGAAUUUACUUUGGGAACUUUAUUACAUGCAUAUGAAUUCCUAUCUAAAUUAGAAUAACUUACUUUUCCCAAGUCUCACACAUACUCCCUUUGCAGUCCAUAAGUCCAUCUCAUGAAAAAAAAACAGACAUGUGAAAUAAAAAAAUGGAAAGUAUAUAGCUUAGCUAUAACUCUACCUAGAGAAGACCUUCCAACUAUGUUGGUGCCACAGUAACUGGGGGGGGGGGCGUCGGGAGAAGGGGGGGGGAUUAAGCAGGGGGCUAUUAAGCAGAAAAGCAACCAGGAGAUCAUUGGUAACUCUGAAUGAGCUGAAGAGAUCUGUAGCUUUGAUGGGAUAUAGCUGUAACGGACCGUUUUGCACACAAGAGGUUACACAGACAGCUACUGCAAUCACCAAUCUCCCAAACUGCAAACACAUGAAUUCACCAAUCUCCCGAACUGGAACCAGGGGAAUGCUCCAAACUCCCGAACAGGAAACACACGAAUGCUGUAAACAGCCGAACAGGAAAAACCAUACGAACAGCUUACACUCCUGGCAGUCGAACUGUAACAGCAUACAAUUCAAUCCCCCCCAAGAACGAGACAACAUUUUGUUUGAGGGUCAAGCAGAACUGAUUUACUGGGGCUACCUGCCCGGUUUUUAUGCAGGUCUCCCACCUGGUGGACACUCCCCUAGGGGGCCAGAUGAGAAACUGGGAAACAUAUUGGACAUUGACCAAUCACAAGCUUACAAUCCCACAAUGCAUCACAAUCCCUCCUCUCUGUCCUGGAGAUAAUUGGGAAGUAAUCCAAUUAUCUCCAAGAACAGAGGCAAAACUCCAUUAACCACAUGGCAGACAAAGGACAAUAAAAGACAUAAAAAUACAUACUGUUACAUUUAUCACAUAGAACAUACACAUUCUACCUAUCCCCAGAUAGCUUAGAUCUGAGCGCACAUUAUUACCGGAUGGCGCUCAGAUCACAUACAUAUAGUUUAAUCUCCAUGGAGCCAAAGUCUUUCAUACAGUCUUUCAGUAUACGGCUGGGCUCCAUGGUAUAGCUAUCUGGGGUAGCAUGGUUUAAACAGUAAAGUACCGUUGUUCGGAUAAUUGACUGCAGGUAGGAGAAGGGAGGUCGGCGGCUCAGCGGGGUUCGUGACUUUAACAGUCCGCAGAAAGGGGCGAACAAGCCUUUCUGUAGGGAAAAAGAACAGUGUUAAACAUGGGGCCAUAAUCCAGCGGCAGGAGGCGGGCGACCAGGCUCCUCCAGUGGCCACUGGUGAGGUUGGUUCCGCCCCAAUAGCUUUGAUAGUUUGCUCCUUCAACGUGUUUUGAUAUGUCUUGUAAAGAACAUUCUAUAUUUUCUUCCAUUAUUCAGGGCUGUAGGUUCAGGAUUUGUCUGCGUGUGAAUGUUGUGGAUCUGCUUGUGAGUAAUUCCUUCACACGGUUGUUAGUUUGUAUAUAAUGUUCAUUUUUCUGCAGUUUCAUACAGUUACUUUUUCUAUUACACUGAAUACCUGCUUUCAGACUUGUU
rnacentral:lncRNA from 1 species